GUUAGUCCGGAAAUGUUUUUGACUAUGCUUAUGUUAGGGACCAUUCAUUAUUUAUGACUGGGGGUGGUCCGGCAAAAAAGGGGGUGGGUCAUGAAGUAUUUUUGACCGAAUAAGGGUGGGGCACGUAAAAAUAUUAGUUCAGAAGGGGGGUCCAGUUAUUAUAUUAUAGUGGGGGAAAAUUUGACUUGUAACGAUUAUUGCUACAGCAGAGAGCGAACAAGG